rnacentral:rRNA from 1 species
AAGACUUGAGGGUACAGUAGGUGUGAAAUGCUUAUCGCACUCAGAGAUAGCUGGUUUUCCUAGAAAUGAGUAUGAGCUCAGCUGUGUAUUUUUAUUUUCGCAUUGUUUAUCUUACAGGAUAAAUAUGUUGGUUCAAAUAAUAAUAUGUUGGNAAGACAGAAAGGGAUAAGCUUUUCUGUCAAAAAAGAAAAAGCUUUUAUUACUAAUAAAGGAUAUUUUUACAAAUGUGUUGUAUGUUGAUAAAAAGUAGGAUUAAUAGCAUCUAACUUCAAAGAAAGCGUUAGAGCUAAUUUUAGUAAAGCGAUACAGAGAAAAUUUAUAAAGAGCAAUCCCAAAUUGUAAAAACUUAUAGGGAGAUUUCAUUAGUUUGAAAGUCAUAAUGUUGAAAUUAGUAAAGAAAUUAUAUUUUUUGUGAAUUAAUCAAUCCUAACCUUUGGAUGGAAUAAUAGUCUGUAGCCGAGAAGUUACUUUAUUCAGGUUGUCUACUAACGCAAGUAAUAUUAUUGAAGAAUAAAAUAAGAAAAAGGAAUUCGGCAAAUCAAAACUUCGCCUGUUUACCAAAAACAUCGCUCUUUGUAAAGAGUCUAAUAUAUAAAGAGUCCUGCCUGCCCGGUGACUUAGUUAAACGGCCGCGGUAUCUUGACCGUGCAAAGGUAGCAUAAUCAUUUGCCUUUUAAAUGGAGGCUGGUAUGAAUGGCAAGACGGGAGUUUAGCUGUCUCUUUCUUAUAACCUUGAAGUUAAUAUUUCUGUGAAGAAGCAGAAAUGUAGUCGUAGGACGAGAAGACCCUAUCGAGCUUUAGUAAAAAUAAGGUGUAAUCUGUUAAUGCUAUUUUACUGCUAAUAAAUAACUAAAAAUAGUUAGUGUAAUUUUACUGUAAAAUAGGGGUAGUAUGCAUUUAGUACUUAGGUUGGGGCAACCGCGGAGAAUAAAGACCCUCCGCUAAUUCAUUAGUAAAAAAAUUUUUUUAUAAUAUAAGAUUUUAUUGAUAAAGUGAUCCACCAGGAAAGGUGAGCAAAAGAAUAAGUUACCGUAGGGAUAACAGCGUAAUUUUUUUGGAGAGUUCAUAUUGAUAAAAAAGUUUGCGACCUCGAUGUUGGAUCGGGAUUUCCUAGGGAUGCA